rnacentral:tRNA from 10 species
GUGAGUCUCCCCAAAAGUGGCGCUCUUGGGAUGUCGAGGACAGGUCUGCCUGUGUGUCCGUGGGCUGCUCUCUUCACCGGUGGCUUGGUAGUCGCAGAGAGCAGAACCCAGCAGGUUCUGGGGCUGCCUGGGUGUGGGCCUCAGUAAGCUUACAAUCAUGGCAGAAGGUGACGGGGGAGCCAGCACUUCACAUGGCUGGAAGCAGGAAGAAGAGUGAGAAGUGGGGAGGUGCUAUACACUUUUAACAACCAGACUCACAAUAACUCACUCACUAUCGCAAGAACAGCACCAAGGAGAUGGUGCUAAACCAUUUAAGAGAAACCGCUAGAUGAUCCAAUUGCCUCCCAACACGCCCCACCUCCAACAGUGGGACUUAUAGUUUGACUUGAGAUUUGGGUGGGGACACAGAUCCAAAUGAUAUCAGUGUGUUAAAAGGAAAAGGAGAUAACAGUGGGAAAUGGAUAUUUAACUUCAAUUUGUGAGUUUUUAUUUUAGAGUUCUAAAAUUAUGUCUUAUACUACCUAUACAAGUGCUGGAAUAUUUUCUGUAUUAAGUGGUAGAUAUAUAAUAUCCGAAUAUCAUACUUACCUUCUUUGACCUUGCAGUUUAAGAGGGCAUUUUAAGAAAGUAAACAAACACAUUGAUUUUUUUUUAAAGGAGAAAUUUUUCAGUAAACGAUAUAGGUACGUUAACAUGGGCGAUAUAGGAAAGUUACUGAUGGAGAGACAAUCCUACAUAGAAACCUAAGGAAGCAAUUAACUCAGACACAGAGAUUGAGAAGAGUAAAAUGGAAAAUGGGUGAAAUCUGGGAAAUCUGUUGCUUCCAGUAGAAGAAACAUAAUAUUGAAGGAACAGAGAUUGAUGUCAAGAGUUCAGGGAAACAAACCAGAAUAAGAAUGUUUAGACAAAAGGCUGAUGGUAGAAGGAAAUUGAGACUGAAAGUUAUAGAGAGCACAGGCUUACUCGAAGAUUAGCAGACAAAAGAACAUCUGUAAGUUCAAUCAUGAAGGAGUGCCAGAAUUAAAGAGAAAAUAAGGAAAUAAUAAAGGGAAUCUUUUGAUGUGAGGAACCAAUUGGGCUAUGAACUCAGCCUGCUAGCCUGCCAUUCCAAUGACAGUAGGAAAUAAAUGUUCUGUAAGUUAUUUGAAAAUUAGAGGACAAAGUAAUUGUUUGUUCUAUAGGUAGAGAAACAUUUUUGUAAAUGAUAAUACAGCUGUUCUACCAAUUUCUCUUAAUUUUCAAACUUUUUGAAGGGGUACACUAUAUUUUCACGAUUUGUUCAUUCUGAUUUCCAACUCAUAUUUGUUCAUCAUUUUCUCUUUACUUUUUAAAAAGUUGAAAGACAUUCAUAUCACAAAAUUUUCACUGGAUAAUUUUUCUUGUUGCAACUGUAGAUUUUUGUGGAUAUAUACAAAUCUCUCUAGUGACACAUCUAGAGAUUAAUGUUAUGUUCUAUUCCAUAGGGAGCAAAUAUACCACAUGAAACAUUGCAACUAUGAAUCUAACUAGACUGUACGGGCAACAUAUAUUGAAAGAUAAAUUAAAAUUGAAGGGAGUGUAUCCUGGUGUAUGACAGCAUAUAGUAGAGACCAGUGUCAAUUAGGGCCUGUGAACUGAGACAGGGUGACUGGCUAAGUCCACAACCCAUUAGAAACCCAGAAAUAAUCAAAUCAUGGUGAGUAGUAAUAAUACUUAUUUAUAGUACUGUACGGUAUAAAGACAAGAACCAAUUAUGUUGAGUAGCUGUAACAAAUAGCUCUAUCGUUCUUAAUAACUUUUUCUGUAAUAAAACUGAAUUGUAACAUGACCAUACUGCAAUAUGACAUUACACUGGUAUUGUUGGUAAGAUUCAACUAUCUUAUGUAGAGAAGUUAUAUAAUGCUUAUAUUGAUAAUCAAAUGUAUUAAGAUAUUGAGUUAAAGCCUCUUCAGAAUGUAAUCUGGGUGAAUAAUAAAUGGCCUGAGAAAACAGAAUUUAGCUAACCAUUAUCUAAUUUCAAUGCUAAAUAGUUCUGCACAGAUUUAUCAAAAGGUAAAAAUAAAAGCAAAUUGAGAGGAGGAAUGAGUAAUUUGGUUUGUACAAAAUAUUAAAGUGUAUGUAAUGGCCUUGUAGGAUGCAUUAGUAAUUUUUAAAAAUCAAUCUUUACCCUACACUGUGUCCAUAAAAUGCUAGGCAUAUUCAUGUUAAUAUUACUGUUGUUACUGUCAUAUAAAUGCUGUACUCAAUGUAGAUGCUCAGAAAAAUAUGCUUGUUUUGCUACAGGAGAGAUUAGUCCAGGGACAAUAAAUAUGGAUUAGGGAAGAAUGUGUUAACUCAGCAGGCCAGGGUUUCUUCAACCCUGCACAUUCAAAGGUAAGGUUUGUUUUUAGGACUAGCUAGCUUCUGAGUUCUGGAAACAGUCUUACCGUGAAGAGUGUUUUUGUAUAUCUGAGGCCUUGGGUUUAUGGUGAAUGACUGACUUUAUAUGCCUGAGGCCCUGAGUCAUGCUGUAUUUAUCUGAACCAUGUGGUAUCAAUUUAACCAGAUACGUUUAUUCUAAGAUAUGAUUUAUGCUGAAAGCCUGCUUUUGUUCUAGAGGGAUCAUGGAAAGGAAGCUGAAUUUGCUGAGUUUUGCCACGUGGGCAUUGCAUGCCUAUGUGAUUAACCACCAAUAAAAACCUGGGACAUCAAAAAAUAAAUAAGCUGCUUUAAUUGCCAAGAAUUCACAUGUGGUUGUAUGCAGCAUUACUGGGAGAUUGAAGUGUAUCUGCAUGUGAUUCUACUGUGAUGGACACUUGUAAAUUUGUGCCUGGAGUCUCCUGGAAUUUGCCCUGAGAAUCUUUUUCCUUUGUUGAUAAGAAUCUGCAUCCUUUUGUUUUAAUAAACGAUAAACAUGAGUAUAAUUGCUUCUCUGAGUUCUGAGAGUUUUUUAAAUAAAUAAUCAAAGCUGAAAAGCAAUGGAGACCCCCACCAAAACAUCUUUACACAUUUCAAUUUUGUAUUGAAGUAAAUUUUAUUUUCUUUUUUAUACCUCCCGUAUAUAUUCUAUUUUUCUCAUUAUUAUUUAUUUAUCCCAAAUCUUUUAUCUGUGAUCAUUUUCCUUUGUUUGAAAUUUGUCUUUUGAGAUUUCUUUAGAAGGUGCUUUUGGAUGAUAAAUUUUCUGUUAUUCUUUGUCUAAAAUGUCAUUAUUUUGACUCAUUUAUAAAAGGAGUUUUUGUGUUUUAUAAACCUCUAAUGUAUAGAAGUGUGUCUAAACUCAUUGAGGAUAUUUUCCAAAUUUUUUCCUGCUUUUUAUUGCUGUUGAUAAGAAAUCAGUGUUGGUAUUUUGACAUUUAAGUUAUGUGUCAUUUUGUUGUGGUAGUUCUGAAGAUCUUCCCUCUGUUUUAUAUUCUCCUUCACCUUUCAUAAAUGUACUUUAUAUUUAUUUGGUAAUAAAUUUUGAACAUAUACUAUGCUAUAAAGAUAAUCUAGGCCCUUUGGUUACAUCUCGUAAAUAAAAUCAACAAAAUCUGUUUUGAGAUUAUAUUGUAAUAUAAGAUACCCAAAGUAAAUAGGAUAUGUACCAUAUGUUUGAAGGUGGUAAAUACGAUGAGAAAAAUAGAUCAGGUCAGGAAGAAUGAAGAUGAUUGAAGGUACAGGUUAUGAUAAAAACUUAGGUGUGCCGAGGAAUGAAUUCAUCUUAUGUAUCUUGAGUGUAAUGUCUUAUUUCUCCUGAAUCUGAGAAUUUGAUGUCUUUCAUUAGGUAUGUCAGUGAAUUUCACUAAUG